GUCUACGGCCGUGCUACCCCGAACAAGCCCGAUCCCAUCUGAUCUCGGAAGCUAAGCAGGGUUAAGCCUGGUUAGUACUUGGAUGGGAGACCAUCUAAGUAGACCAGGUGCUAUAGGUG
rnacentral:rRNA from 1 species